rnacentral:rRNA from 1 species
UACGUAGGGAGCAAGCGUUGUCCGGAAUCAUUGGGCGUAAAGCGCGCGUAGGUGGCUUCAUAAGUCCGUUGUGAAAGUCAAAGGCUCAACCUUUGAAAGCCGAUGGAUACUGUGGAGCUAGAGUACGGAAGAGGCGAGUGGAAUUCCUGGUGUAGCGGUGGAAUGCGCAGAUAUCAGGAGGAACACCGGUGGCGAAGGCGGGUCUCUGGGCAGUAACUGACGCUGGAGGAGCGAAAAGCGUGGGGAGCGAACAGG